rnacentral:rRNA from 1 species
AUUGAACGCUGGCGGCAGGCCUAACACAUGCAAGUCGAACGGUAACAGGAAGAAGCUUGCUUCUUUGCUGACGAGUGGCGGGCGGGUGAGUAAUGUCUGGGAAACUGCCUGAUGGAGGGGGAUAACUACUGGAAACGGUAGCUAAUACCGCAUAACGUCGCAAGACCAAAGAUGGGGACCUUCGGGCCUUUUGCCAUCGGAUGUGCCCAGAUGGGAUUAGCUAGUAGGUGGGGUAACGGCUCACCUAGGCGACGAUCCCUAGCUGGUCUGAGAGGAUGACCAGCCACACUGGAACUGAGACACGGUCCAGACUCCUACGGGAGGCAGCAGUGGGGAAUAUUGCACAAUGGGCGAAAGCCUGAUGCAGCAAUGCCGCGUGUAUGAAGAAGGCCUUCGGGUUGUAAAGUACUUUCAGCGGGGAGGAAGAGAGUAAAGUUAAUACCUUUGCUCAUUGACGUUACCCGAAGAAGAAGCACCGGCUAACUCCGUG